rnacentral:tmRNA from 1 species
GGGGCCGUUUUGGUUUUGACAGCAAAGAUCUUUGUAGGUGUAAGCAUGUAGUGCGUUGCGUAAUUAGCACUUUAAUAUGAAUACGAAAACUUUAAAUGGCAAUACUCAGUAUGCCAUGGCUGCCUAAUUAUUAAUUAGAUAGUCAUUCGGGCCGCCGCACAGGAUUUUCUGCUUCCAAGUGCCGCCGCCGACUCAAAAAAAAUGCGGGAUGCUGCAACCGAAUGAAGUGACGGUUGCCUAAGCCCCGAUAACUAUCGGGAUCUUCUAAGGAUAGCGUUGGUUUGUUAUGUUCCUGCGCCUUCCCUACAAUUAAUACAUAAAUAAACAUGUAGAAAGCUUACGGCGAAUUUGUUUGGACACCGGUUCGAGUCCGGUCGGCUCCACUA